rnacentral:snRNA from 1 species
GUGUUCAUUUCGGCAGCACAUAUACCAAAAUUGGAAUGAUACAGAGAAGAGUAGCAUGGUCCCUGUGCAGGAAUGACACACAAAUUCAUGAAGCUUUCCAUAUUUUU